rnacentral:rRNA from 1 species
AGAGUUUGAUCAUGGCUCAGAACGAACGCUGGCGGCAUGCCUAACACAUGCAAGUCGAACGCCCUCUUCGGAGGGAGUGGCGCACGGGUGCGUAACGCGUGGGAACCUGCCUUAGGUUCGGAAUAACUCAGAGAAAUUUGAGCUAAUACCGGAUAAUGUCUUCGGACCAAAGAUUUAUCGCCUUUGGAUGGGCCCGCGUUGGAUUAGCUAGUUGGUGGGGUAAAGGCCUACCAAGGCGACGAUCCAUAGCUGGUCUGAGAGGAUGAUCAGCCACACUGGGACUGAGACACGGCCCAGACUCCUACGGGAGGCAGCAGUGGGGAAUAUUGGACAAUGGGCGAAAGCCUGAUCCAGCAAUGCCGCGUGAGUGAUGAAGGCCUUAGGGUUGUAAAGCUCUUUUACUGGGGAUGAUAAUGACAGUACCCAGAGAAUAAGCUCCGGCUAACUCCGUG